UUGAUUACGUCCCUGCCCUUUGUACACACCGCCCGUCGCUGCCCGGGACUGAGUUGUUUCGAGAAAAGCGGAGACUGCUGCUCUGAGCGUUUUCGGACGAUCGUUGCGGCGAGAACCGCGUUAAUCGAAACGGCUUGAACCGGGCAAAAGUCGUAACAAGGUUUCCGUAGGUGAACCUGCGGAAGGAUCAUUAUUGAGCUUAUCCAUUUACUUGGAUUCAAAUGAAUCGAGCUGAAUCUUUGCUGUUUGUUUCGAAGCGAUGUAUUCUCUCAACUAACGGCUAUGAAUGGUUUCUAUAGGUGUCUGGAGCAGUUGUAUGUGCGUGACUGUGGUGAUGGACAUUUGAGUUCUUCUGGAACUAGAAUUAAAGAAGUCUGAUACGACUCGCCGUUCUUAAAAAACUUCAAUUAACGUUUGAACAAUUUGACUGCACCAGCCGUAGGUGUAAUUAAAGAUUUAUCAAGUCUUGUCGGUGGAUCACUCGGUUCGUAGUUCGAUGAAAAACGGGGCAAAAACCGUUAUUUGGCGUGAAUUGCAGACAUAUUGAACGCUAAAAUUUUGAACGCAAAUGGCACUAUCAGGUUUAUAUCUGUUAGUAUGUUUGGUUGAGGGUCGAUUAAUUCGUAACUUGCAGUCCGCCGUGACUGUUCUUUCGAUCAGCUACUUGAUCUGCAUUGCUGAUCGAGUACCUGUUUGGUAUGUAAACUUUUGAUAGUCUAAUUCGUUCCUUACUGAAACGAGCUAUCUUUGAAUUCUGUGCGUUGUAUCUUUGGUGUUUCGGCGCGUUUCUUGCCGACUGAAUUGUACGGACGUAACAGUACGUAUAUGCUUCAAUUUAUUCAGAUGCCCUAAGGUUACAUCACUCGACACAACACGUUUCGUUUGUUGAAUAAUCGCGCAAGAAAGAAACUUUUCGUUUUACGACCUCAACUCAAGCAAGACUACCCGCUGAACUUAAGCAUAUCAGUAAGCGGAGGAAAAGAAACUAACUAGGAUUUCCUUAGUAACGGCGAGUGAAA
rnacentral:misc_RNA from 1 species